UCAACACAACGAGCGAUGGAAAGGAGCAACUAUCACUGCCAGGCCAUCCUGUGUUCAUCAGGCCAGUCAAUUUUGCAUUUCUGCAGGAUUUUUGAGCAUGUCAAAUUUCUUAUGGUAAAUGCCCAUUGAACCAUAUUGCAAAUGUACAUGCACUUGCAAUAUGAUUCUAUAGUGAAAAAACAUCACCAAAUGGACAUGAUGAAAUCAACACAACGAGUGAUGGAAAGGAACAACUAUCACUGCCCGGCCAUCCCGAGUUCAUCAGGCCAGUCAAUUUUGCAUUUCUGCAGGAUUUUUGAGCAUGUCAAAUUUCUUAUGGUAUUUGGCCCCAAAAAAGUGACUUUUGACUUUGACUUUUGACUUCCUAUGAAAUCAUAUUGCAAAUGGACAAAUCAUAUUCCUUAUGCACAAGUAAAAAAAAAUUAUGAUAAUACAAUUUUACAAAUGUAUAUUCAUACAGUUCUUACACAUUAUGAAUUGACAUAAAAUCGAAACAAUUUCGAAAAACGGUCCAGAAAGCACUUUUUUAUGAGGGUGAUAAGUUUUUAAAAAAGUUCACAUUUUCGACUUUUGACUUCCUAUGAAAUCAUAUUGCAAAUGGAAAAAACAUAUGCCUUAUGCACAAGUAAAAAAAAAAAAAAAAAAAAAAUUAUGAUAUUAAAAUAUGACUAAAGUAUGUUGAUACAGUUCUUAUACAUGUGUAAUUGACACAAGAAUGGAAAGAAUUUUGAAAAACGGUCCAAAAAGCACUUUUUUAAGGGUGUGUGAAGUUUUUUACAAAAUUUUGACAUUUUUGACUUUUGACUUCCUAUGAAAUCAUAUUGCAAAUGGACAAAACAUAUUUCUUAUGCACAUGUAAAAAAAUAAUAAUAAUGCUAAUAAAAUUGGACAAAAGUAUAUUCAUACAGUUCUUACACAUGUGUAAUUGACAAAAAAAUCGAAAGAAUUUCGAAAAACGGUCCAGAAAGCACUUUUUAAGGGGUGAUAAGUUUUUGACAAAAAAAUCAUUUUUUCAAAAUUUUGCUUUUGGAUGUUGACUUGAGUUCCAUUUCCAAAAUGAAAAACCACGGUGGAGCGCACUCGCCCCCUGUUGGAUUUUUGAAGUGUUACAACUGGCAAUUGCCAUAUGGCAUUUGCAAUAAACUUUGCAUGAAUCAACGCCGAAUUGGGUGGUAUUGGACAUCGUGUAUAUGGUUUGUCCAAUGUCAAUGAUUUGCCAUUAAUUUUUGUCCAUUUCAGGGGGGUCUUCCCUUACUCAGGUUUUCGCCUGCCGUAUCAGUUCUGUUAUACUCACAGACAGGAUUUUAACAUUUUGGAAACUUUAGAGUGUUUUAUAUCCACAUCUACCAAUUAUAUGCAUAUCCGAGCUUCUGGGCCUGAGUAACAGGGCACGCUUCCCAUCCAUAUGCCGAAAUACUGCCACCAAGCCAAAAGAAGUUCAACUCCUUGUUCGAAGACUGAUUUAAGUCUGUCAAUCACACAGCAUCAUCUGAUUUAGGAAUUUGCAGUGUGCCAUGCUUCUGUGAGAGACAAUUGUCAUCUUAAGCAGCAUUGGUUUGGUGGUUUCUGUAAAGCCACAUUGGUUCUUGUGCUGAUUCAUUGACUUCGCUGUGUAAAGAAGGCAGAUAUUGCACACAUAAAAUCCCUGACCACGACGUGAUUUGAACACGCAACCUUCUGAUCUGGAGUCAGACGCGCUACCUUUGCCCCACAAGGUCUUGUACAAUGUGUUUUUUGGAGGGGAUGCCUAGUUCAGAUUUUGUUGACUGUAUCAUUUGGAAUGAAGACCUGGUUCUCUGGGGAACUGUACCAUCUGACAAUGCCCCCUCGUCAGCACGUGCCUCUGCCCGGCAGGUUAGGUGUAUGAAAAUAAGCAAAAGCAGAGCCCGGAUAGCUCAGUCGGUAGAGCAUCAGACUUUUAAUCUGAGGGUCCAGGGUUCAAGUCCCUGUUCGGGCGAUGCUUUAAUGUUCACAAUUCUUCACUACGCUGUCUUUCUGAACUUGCAUUUUCCUUGACUUUCCAUGACAUGUUCGACCUGUGGAC
ensembl:lncRNA